CCUACGGGAGGCUGCAGUGGGGAAUAUUGCGCAAUGGGCGAAAGCCUGACGCAGCGACGCCGCGUGAGGGAUGAAGGUCUUCGGAUCGUAAACCUCUGUCAGCAGGGAAGAACGGUCACUGUGCUAAUCAGCAGUGAAUUGACGGUACCUGCAAAGGACGCACCGGCUAAAUCCGUGCCAGCAGCCGCGGUAAUACGGAGGGUGCGAGCGUUAAUCGGAAUUACUGGGCGUAAAGCGCUCGUAGGCGGUAUGUCAAGUCAAGGGUGAAAUCCCCGCGCUCAACGUGGGAACUGCCUUUGAAACUGGCAGACUGGAGUGUGUGAGAGGAUAGUGGAAUUCCAGGUGUAGGAGUGAAAUCCGUAGAUAUCUGGAGGAACAUCAGUGGCGAAGGCGACUAUCUGGCACAUAACUGACGCUGAGGAGCGAAAGCGUGGGUAGCAAACAGGAUUAGAUACCCGGGUAGUC
rnacentral:rRNA from 1 species